AUUGAACGCUGGCGGCAUGCUUUACACAUGCAAGUCGGACGGUAACAGGCCGCAAGGUGCUGACGAGUGGCGAACGGGUGAGUAAUGCAUCUGAACGUGCCCAGUCGUGGGGGAUAACGCAGCGAAAGCUGUGCUAAUACCGCAUACGAUCUAUGGAUGAAAGCGGGGGACCGUAAGGCCUCGCGCGAUUGGAGCGGCCGAUGUCAGAUUAGGUAGUUGGUGGGGUAAAGGCCUACCAAGCCAACGAUCUGUAGCUGGUCUGAGAGGACGACCAGCCACACUGGGACUGAGACACGGCCCAGACUCCUACGGGAGGCAGCAGUGGGGAAUUUUGGACAAUGGGCGCAAGCCUGAUCCAGCAAUGCCGCGUGCAGGAAGAAGGCCUUCGGGUUGUAAACUGCUUUUGUACGGAACGAAACGGUCUGGAUUAAUACCCUGGGCUAAUGACGGUACCGUAAGUAUAAGCACCGGCUAACUACGUGCCAGCAGCCGCCGUAAGAC
rnacentral:rRNA from 1 species